CUCUGAAAAAGGUAACAUGUACCUUGUACUUCUUCUGUGAAAAUGUUUCAUUUGUUGCUUCGUGAAUUUUUACCAUCCUACUGAGUUGUUGUGAUUUUACUUGCAGUGAAUUUUCUUGCACUCUUUGAGGCUUCUGUUAACAACACUCAACCUUGCAAGAGUAGCUUGAAAACUUCACUAUUGGUAAGAAACAAAUUCAACCACUGUAACUCGUUGAAUAUAUGUUUUUUUUCUUUUGGAAUUGGACUGAUUUUGUGUGUUGUUGCAUGCUGCAGGACAUGGUUGUUAGUGAUUGGUGGAACCUAAAUAAUAGGGAUCCGGUGUUGUUAUUUGGAAAUGGAUUGGCCUUUGUUAUGAGACCUUGCAGGCUGGCUGAAUGGCUUUUGUCAUCAAGAGGAAUGGACUUGAGCUGCUUUGGAUUGCCACUCACAUGUAAUUUUGCAAGUUUUAUGGCACACAGGCUGAAACAAAUGGAGCUGCUUGGACUGUGGGCUGUCAUUCUAUGUUAUGUUAUGAUAUAUGUAGAUAUAAGAGGAUAGAGAUCAAGAGUAAGAUAGACUCGGUAGGAAA
rnacentral:lncRNA from 1 species